AACGAACGCUGGCGGCAUGCCUAACACAUGCAAGUCGAACGAGACCUUCGGGUCUAGUGGCGCACGGGUGCGUAACGCGUGGGAAUCUGCCCUUGGGUUCGGAAUAACUCAGAGAAAUUUGAGCUAAUACCGGAUGAUGACGAAAGUCCAAAGAUUUAUCGCCCAGGGAUGAGCCCGCGUAAGAUUAGCUUGUUGGUGGGGUAAUGGCCUACCAAGGCGACGAUCUUUAGCUGGUCUGAGAGGAUGAUCAGCCACACUGGGACUGAGACACGGCCCAGACUCCUACGGGAGGCAGCAGUGGGGAAUAUUGGACAAUGGGCGCAAGCCUGAUCCAGCAAUGCCGCGUGAGUGAUGAAGGCCUUAGGGUUGUAAAGCUCUUUUACCAGGGAUGAUAAUGACAGUACCUGGACGAAUAAGCUCCGGCUAACUCCGUG
rnacentral:rRNA from 1 species